GAUGAACGCUGGCGGCGUGCCUAAUACAUGCAAGUCGAGCGAACAGACGAGGAGCUUGCUCCUCUGACGUUAGCGGCGGACGGGUGAGUAACACGUGGAUAACCUACCUAUAAGACUGGGAUAACUUCGGGAAACCGGAGCUAAUACCGGAUAAUAUAUUGAACCGCAUGGUUCAAUAGUGAAAGACGGUUUUGUUGUCACUUAUAGAUGGAUCCGCGCCGCAUUAGUUAGUUGGUAAGGUAACGGCUUACCAAGGCAACGAUGCGUAGCCGGCCUGCGAGGGUGAUCGGACACACUGGAACGGAGACACGGUCCAGACUCCUACGGGAGGCAGCAGUAGGGAGUGAUCCGCGAUGAGCGAGAGCCAGACGGAGCAAGCCCGCGUGAGUGAUGAAGGUCUUCGGAUCGUAAAACUCUGUUUUUAGGGAGGAACGAAUGUGUAAGUAUUUUUGCACGUGUUGACGGAACCUAGUCAGAAAGCAACGGCUAACUACGUG
rnacentral:rRNA from 1 species